rnacentral:misc_RNA from 1 species
CCCAAACCGCACAUCGCACCCCCUACCGCUUGCACGCACCGUUUUGUUGUAAGGGGGGGGGACUUUUUCAGACCUCCACAAACAUGCACCGUGCGAGCGCUGCCCCGCCGUGCCUGCACACUUGCGUGCAGUGCACAUCGGCUGAUUCAUCAGCGGUGUUCGUUUCCUCGCCUGCGGAUGCGGCUGCUAUGCUGCUCUUCCUCCCGGGAGCAUGCUGCUCUCUUGGUGCAAUGGCCUCCUGCGCCCGCUGACCUUGCUGGGUGUGUGGCUUUUUGGGAACAACGAAGACGAGCUACUGAACCUCGAUGAGAGGGGCGAGCGACGCGUUGUCGUGUACGGCAGCGACGGCAGCCCUGUUUGCGCGAUUGGUACAGGACUUACGCGAAGGUGAAACGAUGAGGCCGGGUAUUUGGUCGAGCAAGGCAACGACGAGCGCACGAACCAGAGGCGAGCGGAGCCACAGCGCGCCUGGAACGACUGGAAAGGUGUCAGAGGCUAAUGAUGGCAGUGACGACGGAGGUCACCAAGGAGCAGCAGAGGUGAUGACAACGAAGUACUCAGCCAUGUCUACUCUCCAAGAAAUACUCUCCUACCGUGUCGAAGGGUCACCUCUCCCGCUCAUAGUGGCAGCAGCGGGCCCGCGGGCGCGACUCGCUGGUGAGCAAGUCGCAGUUCUCUUACUCCCUGGAGCGGCAACUUCCCUGCACGGUGACGCGGCGACGGGCCUCAGGACGACGCCUGCAACACAGCUGCGCCGUACUGUUGCGCCCUCGACAUCGCAUAAAACGCCUGCUUUUACUUGCAGCAGCGAUCCACUCAGCGGUCUCGCAGCAUCUGUCGUGGACGACAGCCAUCUGCACUACUGCCGCGUGGUGCGCGGGUCAUCGCUGGAGGGGGUUACUGCAGCCAUGUGCGAAGCUGCCCGGUGGUACGGCCGACCAGCAACGAGCACGCCGGCAGACCCGGCACUCGAAGCGAGUUACCACUUAGCCAAUGAAGACGAUGGCGAGGAGGCAGGUUCGGCCGUCAGUAGUGGGCGCCUGAAGAACGGCCACAUCGACGUUUUCGUUCCGUCUGGCUUGCCCUCCGCUGCCCACUACCAGAGCUUGUGCGUGCCUCUCUGCCUCGAGGUGGUUGCUCCGCGACUGAUUUUGCCGGCCGCCACGGCGCGGCAUACUUGCGCGGAUGGCGCAGCAGUAGUGAGACUGUGGCGCAAGGCCCAGUUAUCGGUGGGCGGCGUGCUCAGGGUAGGACGAAACAACGGUGGUGCGGCGACGAGUCGAUACCGGCGGAUCCUGCAGACGCACAACUUCAGGACACCGCGGCCGAAUUUGUGCCGCUGGUGGAUCAGCUGUGGCGCCUGCGCCGGUACGCGCUGGUGGAGCUGCUCAUCGAGGGCUACCCGCUUAUGGUGACGGAAUGGAUACUGUCACCGGAGCUUCGGCGUCCGGCUGAUGCGCAACGGACGGCAGAGAACCAAACAUACGCCACUGAGGCGAAGGGCACCGAGAUUGCCCGUGUGCGCUGGGCCCUUCGGUGCAUGUGCGUUUUGCGCUGCCUCGGUAAGGCAACUCAGGCGUCUGUGGUGACGGCUGGUGAGGCGGCAACGGCGGCAGGACGUGCAGCGCACUGGGGUAUCCCGUCGGCUGCCUCUGCAGUCCCUGGCCGUGGUCUUCGCCCCGCCUUUCCUGCCGCCGCCGCCGGCGUGGCUCUUUCACUCUCGCUGACCGCGGUGCGGCCUCACCUGCGGCUCCUGGAUCUCUCCAACACAACAACCCUCUCGUCGCUUGACGGGAUCGAGGUGUUGGUGGCGCUGGAGAAGAUCGAGCUCAUCCGCUGUUCUCAGCUCCACAGUCUGUCGCCGCUGGAAACUGCGUCGUCGUUGAAUGACACCGUCGCAUCACAGAGCUGCGUCCUCGACCUCAGUGGCGUGGUGCAGAGUCGCACACGUCUCUCUCGCUGUGUCUGUACGGGUGCUUGAACUUGACCGACGUUAGCGCUUGCGGUGCGAUUCCCAUGCUGCGGGACAUGCUCAUCUCAGAGAUCACCGUGAGGGUGUUUGAUGGGCUGCGUGAAAGCCGCAGCCUUGCCCGUUUGGGAAUGCGGUACGGCGAUGCGCCGCUGUUGAAGGCACGUUCGCUGGUGUCGAGUUUGACUGUCUUGCACGCCUUCAGCACCACACUCACUUCCGUUGUGGCCUUGCAGCACUGCACUGCGCUCGAGGUUGCGGAUGUGAGCGCGUGCGCUCCGCUGGCUGAUCUCGGGACACUAGACUUGGCGCCAUGCUUGCGUGAGGUCGACGCCGCUGGUAGCGGUGUACUGCACGUAUCUGGGCUGAGUCGCUCCUGCUCUCUGGAGAGGUUUCUCUUGGCUCAGUGCGUCCACCUCGACGAGGUCGGUCCUCUCGGCCAGUGCGUCGAUCUGCGCGAACUCCGCCCUCACUGGCGCUGGUGCUCAGCAGUUGGAAGGAUUGGCUCGCGCCCCCUCUUUGAAUCUCCUCGACAUCAGUUUCUGCCGCCAGCCGCCGAGUUUCAUAUCGUUGCUGGAUCUUCCGCGGCUACGCUAUUUGUGCAUAAGUGGCUGCACAGCGGCCCAGCGACAAACUGAGGAGGUGAUGGCAGUGGUGGCAGCGCUGACGUCCCGGCGCAAUGCAGUAUCAGUACUGCUUAGAUGAUUUGACUGGCUUUGUGGCUGUGUGCGUGGCUGUGUGCGUGCCUGUCUGUCUGUGUGUGUGGCGGACAGGUGAGGGCUGUGCUGCUUGAGCUCCGCUACAACGG